rnacentral:rRNA from 1 species
UACGUAGGGUGCGAGCGUUGUCCGGAAUUACUGGGCGUAAAGAGCUCGUAGGUGGUUUGUCGCGUUGUUCGUGAAAACUCACAGCUCAACUGUGGGCGUGCGGGCGAUACGGGCAGACUGGAGUACUGCAGGGGAGACUGGAAUUCCUGGUGUAGCGGUGGAAUGCGCAGAUAUCAGGAGGAACACCGGUGGCGAAGGCGGGUCUCUGGGCAGUAACUGACGCUGAGGAGCGGAAGCGUGGGGAGCGAACAGG